AAAACGACUCUCGGCAACGGAUAUCUCGGCUCCCGCAUCGAUGAAGAACGUAGCGAAAUGCGAUACUUGGUGUGAAUUGCAGAAUCCCGUGAACCAUCGAGUCUUUGAACGCAAGUUGCGCCCGAAGCCGUCAGGCCGAGGGCACGUCUGCCUGGGCGUCACGC
rnacentral:rRNA from 1 species